AGACUGAACACAUCAAAAAGGAACCUGUUGAAAUAGUCUUAUUGUUAUUAGAAAGAACAGAUGUUAAUCCAUAUAAAGUUAAUGAGGAUGGGAACACUCCAUUUGACCUGGCUGUAGAAGCAGAACUAUUCGAAAUAGUCAAAUUAUUAUUAGCAAGAACAACUGUAGAUCCGACAAGAACAUAUGAGGAUGGGGACACUGUUUUACACAUAGCUGCUAGAAGAGGACAUCUUGAAAUUGUCCAAUUGCUAUUAAAAAUCUCAUGUAUAGACCCAAAUCAAAAGAAUAAGAGAGGCGACUCUCCCUUACACUCAGCUGUUAAACGGGGAUAUGUUGACACAGUCAAACUUUUAUUAGAAAGAACAGAUAUAGAUGUAAACUGUGUAAAUAAGG